UUAAGUUAUUAAGGGCGCACGGUGGAUGCCUUGGCACUAGAAGCCGAUGAAGGACGUUACUAACGACGAUAUGCUUUGGGGAGCUGUAAGUAAGCUUUGAUCCAGAGAUUUCCGAAUGGGGAAACCCAGCAUGAGUUAUGUCAUGUUAUCGAUAUGUGAAUACAUAGCAUAUCAGAAGGCACACCCGGAGAACUGAAACAUCUUAGUACCCGGAGGAAGAGAAAGAAAAUUCGAUUCCCUUAGUAGCGGCGAGCGAAACGGGAAGAGCCCAAACCAACAAGCUUGCUUGUUGGGGUUGUAGGACACUCUAUACGGAGUUACAAAGGACGACAUUAGACGAAUCAUCUGGAAAGAUGAAUCAAAGAAGGUAAUAAUCCUGUAGUCGAAAAUGUUGUCUCUCUUGAGUGGAUCCUGAGUACGACGGAGCACGUGAAAUUCCGUCGGAAUCUGGGAGGACCAUCUCCUAAGGCUAAAUACUCUCUAGUGACCGAUAGUGAACCAGUACCGUGAGGGAAAGGUGAAAAGCACCCCGGAAGGGGAGUGAAAUAGAACCUGAAACCGUGUGCUUACAAGUAGUCAGAGCCCGUUAAUGGGUGAUGGCGUGCCUUUUGUAGAAUGAACCGGCGAGUUACGAUUUGAUGCAAGGUUAAGCAGUAAAUGUGGAGCCGUAGCGAAAGCGAGUCUGAAUAGGGCGUUUAGUAUUUGGUCGUAGACCCGAAACCAGGUGAUCUACCCUUGGUCAGGUUGAAGUUCAGGUAACACUGAAUGGAGGACCGAACCGACUUACGUUGAAAAGUGAGCGGAUGAACUGAGGGUAGCGGAGAAAUUCCAAUCGAACCUGGAGAUAGCUGGUUCUCUCCGAAAUAGCUUUAGGGCUAGCCUCAAGUGAUGAUUAUUGGAGGUAGAGCACUGUUUGGACGAGGGGCCCCUCUCGGGUUACCGAAUUCAGACAAACUCCGAAUGCCAAUUAAUUUAACUUGGGAGUCAGAACAUGGGUGAUAAGGUCCGUGUUCGAAAGGGAAACAGCCCAGACCACCAGCUAAGGUCCCAAAAUAUAUGUUAAGUGGAAAAGGAUGUGGCGUUGCCCAGACAACUAGGAUGUUGGCUUAGAAGCAGCCAUCAUUUAAAGAGUGCGUAAUAGCUCACUAGUCGAGUGACACUGCGCCGAAAAUGUACCGGGGCUAAACAUAUUACCGAAGCUGUGGAUUGUCCUUUGGACAAUGGUAGGAGAGCGUUCUAAGGGCGUUGAAGCAUGAUCGUAAGGACAUGUGGAGCGCUUAGAAGUGAGAAUGCCGGUGUGAGUAGCGAAAGACGGGUGAGAAUCCCGUCCACCGAUUGACUAAGGUUUCCAGAGGAAGGCUCGUCCGCUCUGGGUUAGUCGGGUCCUAAGCUGAGGCCGACAGGCGUAGGCGAUGGAUAACAGGUCGAUAUUCCUGUACCACCUAUAAUCGUUUUAAUCGAUGGGGGGACGCAGUAGGAUAGGCGAAGCGUGCGAUUGGAUUGCACGUCUAAGCAGUAAGGCUGAGUAUUAGGCAAAUCCGGUACUCGUUAAGGCUGAGCUGUGAUGGGGAGAAGACAUUGUGUCUUCGAGUCGUUGAUUUCACACUGCCGAGAAAAGCCUCUAGAUAGAAAAUAGGUGCCCGUACCGCAAACCGACACAGGUAGUCAAGAUGAGAAUUCUAAGGUGAGCGAGCGAACUCUCGUUAAGGAACUCGGCAAAAUGACCCCGUAACUUCGGGAGAAGGGGUGCUCUUUAGGGUUAACGCCCAGAAGAGCCGCAGUGAAUAGGCCCAAGCGACUGUUUAUCAAAAACACAGGUCUCUGCUAAACCGUAAGGUGAUGUAUAGGGGCUGACGCCUGCCCGGUGCUGGAAGGUUAAGAGGAGUGGUUAGCUUCUGCGAAGCUACGAAUCGAAGCCCCAGUAAACGGCGGCCGUAACUAUAACGGUCCUAAGGUAGCGAAAUUCCUUGUCGGGUAAGUUCCGACCCGCACGAAAGGCGUAACGAUUUGGGCACUGUCUCAACGAGAGACUCGGUGAAAUCAUAGUACCUGUGAAGAUGCAGGUUACCCGCGACAGGACGGAAAGACCCCGUGGAGCUUUACUGUAGCCUGAUAUUGAAAUUCGGCACAGCUUGUACAGGAUAGGUAGGAGCCUUUGAAACGUGAGCGCUAGCUUACGUGGAGGCGCUGGUGGGAUACUACCCUAGCUGUGUUGGCUUUCUAACCCGCACCACUUAUCGUGGUGGGAGACAGUGUCAGGCGGGCAGUUUGACUGGGGCGGUCGCCUCCUAAAAGGUAACGGAGGCGCUCAAAGGUUCCCUCAGAAUGGUUGGAAAUCAUUCAUAGAGUGUAAAGGCAUAAGGGAGCUUGACUGCGAGACCUACAAGUCGAGCAGGGUCGAAAGACGGACUUAGUGAUCCGGUGGUUCCGCAUGGAAGGGCCAUCGCUCAACGGAUAAAAGCUACCCCGGGGAUAACAGGCUUAUCUCCCCCAAGAGUUCACAUCGACGGGGAGGUUUGGCACCUCGAUGUCGGCUCAUCGCAUCCUGGGGCUGUAGUCGGUCCCAAGGGUUGGGCUGUUCGCCCAUUAAAGCGGUACGCGAGCUGGGUUCAGAACGUCGUGAGACAGUUCGGUCCCUAUCCGUCGUGGGCGUAGGAAAUUUGAGAGGAGCUGUCCUUAGUACGAGAGGACCGGGAUGGACAUACCUCUGGUGUACCAGUUGUCGUGCCAACGGCAUAGCUGGGUAGCUAUGUGUGGACGGGAUAAGUGCUGAAAGCAUCUAAGCAUGAAGCCCCCCUCAAGAUGAGAUUUCCCAACUUCGGUUAUAAGAUCCCUCAAAGAUGAUGAGGUUAAUAGGUUCGAGGUGGAAGCAUGGUGACAUGUGGAGCUGACGAAUACUAAUCGAUCGAAGACUUAAUCAA
rnacentral:rRNA from 1 species